GGAAUGGCACAGUCGGUAGCGCAAUUGAUUCGUAAUCAAUAGGUCGUGGGUUCGAUUCCCUCUUCCAG
rnacentral:tRNA from 1 species